rnacentral:rRNA from 1 species
GCAUUGCCGGGUAGCUAAGUGCGGAAGAGAUAAGUGCUGAAAGCAUCUAAGCACGAAACUUGCCAAGAGAUGAGUUCUCCCAGAUUUAAAAUCUGUAAGGGUUGUUUAAGACUAAGACGUAGAUAGGUCUGGUGUGUAAGCGGUGUGAGCCGUUGAGCUAACAGAUACUAAUUGCCCGAGAGGCUUAACUAUACAACGCUCAAGGGUUUUG